rnacentral:sRNA from 1 species
UUGCAUGNGNUUAAUUCGAUGCAACGNGAAGAACCUUACCUACUCNUGACAUCCUCAGAAGCUUGUAGAGAUACGAGUGUGCCUUCGGGAACUGAGAGACAGGUGCUGCAUGGCUGUCGUCAGCUCGUGUUGUGAAAUGUUGGGUUAAGUCCCGCAACGAGCGCAACCCUUAUCCUUGUUCGCCAGCACUUCGGGUGGGAACUCCAGGGAGACUGCCGGUGAUAAACCGGAGGAAGGUGGGGACGACGUCAAGUCAUCAUGGCCCUUACGAGUAGGGCUACACACGUGCUACAAUGGCGCAUACAGAGGGCGGCCAACUUGCGAAAGUGAGCGAAUCCCAAAAAGUGCGUCGUAGUCCGGAUUGGAGUCUGCAACUCGACUCCAUGAAGUCGGAAUCGCUAGUAAUCGUGGAUCAGAAUGCCACGGUGAAUACGUUCCCGGGCCUUGUACACACCGCCCGUCACACCAUGGGAGUGGGCUGCAAAAGAAGUGGGUAGUUUAACCUUCGGGGGGACGCUCACCACUUUGUGGUUCAUGACUGGGGUGAAGUCGUAACAAGGUAGCGCUAGGGGAACCUGGCGCUGGAUCACCUCCUUAUACGAUGAUUAUUGCGAUGAGUGUUCACACAGAUUGAUGGUUUUGAAGCGUAAGCUUCGAGCUAUUAUUGCUCUUUAACAAUUUGGAAAGCUGACAAAUCAACAAAUUAUUGUUGAUUGUAAAGUUCUCAAUGUUUGUCUUUAAGACAAACACCAAACAACACAUUCAAGUGUUCUUGGGAAUGUCACUUUAAGUGACUAUUCAAAAUUGAGUCCGGCAAAAUCGAGUCUGCACUCAUGAUUUGUCUUCACUUUUUAAAAGUGAAAAUAAAUAGAAAAAAUUGCAGACAACUUUGGUCAAUAACAAAGACCCUUUGGGGUUGUAUGGUUAAGUGACUAAGCGUACACGGUGGAUACCUUGGC